UGAUAUAUUGUACGUAUAAACACCAAGAUGGCAUCACCAAAGAUUAGGAUGUUUACUCUUGUUCUACUUGCACUUGUGCUCUCUACUCAAUCAAUAAGAACUGGUUAGGGCUUUCUUUCUUUAUCCAUUUUUAUAUGUUUAAUAGUAUAUGAGAUUGAUCAUAACACGUGCUCUUUUCGUCUUAAAAUGAUAUAGUUAGGGAAUUAAUAUUUUUAUAUGAAAAAAUGAUAUUUUCACAUGAUCUAUCUCACAUGAAUAAUAUGUGAGUUCUACAUUCAUGAGAGAGACUCGUGUGAACUAUUAUUAUUUUUUUUGAAAAAUAUCAGUUUUCUAAAGUUAUAUUACCAAAAAGAAUAAUUUAGAAAAUGUGUUCAAUUUUAUUUUUAUGAUAGUAUAAAAUGACACGAAUUUCUUUAAAAUUAAUGAUAUAAUUUUAUUAUAAUGUCAACAAACAAUCAAUAAAUUUAGCGAUAAAUAUGGAAUAAAAUGUAUAUUUAAAAUUCAUAUAUUUUCUAAAUGUGACGAUUUUUGUGGGAAAAAGUCGGUACUAAUAAAGUUGUCAUUCUUUUGUCAUAUGUUGGAGCAGGAAAAAAGGAAGGCGAUUUGUGCUAUAAUUCAUGCACUACUGCUAAGGACUGUCAUAAAGGAGUAUGUCCAAUUUUUCAUAUUUUCAAAUGUGUUGAAAGUCCAGCUGCUGGUCCGGGAAAGCAUUGUUGUUGCCGACCAGGUUGUUGCUAAAAGGAUGGUAAUGAUAAUUAUGAAAGAAACAAAUAAAAAUAAACUAUGAACUGUUAUUGGUAUUAUGUAUCCUAUUUAAAUGCUUGUUAUGAGGAUAUUAAUGUCCCCAUUUUGAGUAUACACACCGAUAGCA
rnacentral:lncRNA from 1 species